rnacentral:rRNA from 1 species
UACGAAGGGGGCUAGCGUUGCUCGGAAUCACUGGGCGUAAAGGGUGCGUAGGCGGGUUUUUAAGUCAGGGGUGAAAUCCUGGAGCUCAACUCCAGAACUGCCUUUGAUACUGAAGAUCUUGAGUUCGGGAGAGGUGAGUGGAACUGCGAGUGUAGAGGUGAAAUUCGUAGAUAUUCGCAAGAACACCAGUGGCGAAGGCGGCUCACUGGCCCGAUACUGACGCUGAGGCGCGACAGCGUGGGGAGCAAACAGG